rnacentral:tRNA from 1 species
GGGCGGUUAGCUCAGCUGGUUAGAGCGCAGCGUUGACAUCGCUGAGGUCGUAGGUUCGAGUCCUUCACCGCCCACCA